rnacentral:snoRNA from 1 species
AACAGAUGAUUAACUCAUUGACAGGCAUGCAGAGACUGUGUGCUGAUUGUCAUGUUCUGAUUU